AGAGCUAUACCCGGGAGGAACCUGCGUGUGAAUGAGACGGCUGUCAGCAAGCCUACACUCAAAGGAUUUACCCGGUGCAGAGAGCUCCAAGAGAACACCAGAGCCCCUGGCUUCCCGAUUAUUCUACCAACUCUACCAAAUCCUUGUUCUUCGUUGCACAAUUAGCUGUGAAACAGACAGAGGUUACCUACAAUAAGUGCAUGUCAUUUUGGACUAGCCAUAUUUCAAGGGCUCAGUAUGGCUAAUGGCCACUAUAUUGGACAUCGACGGUCAAACCCAUUUUACAUUCCCCUGACAACUAUGAUUGGUGUGAGGCCUAUGAUGGCCCAACUAGGCUGACAGCAAAGAUCUUUCCUGUUGGCAAAGAUCAUCUUUCUCUCUCCUGCUGGCAAGAACAAGAAAGAAUAAAGGUCUGAUCAACCCAUGAGCUUUCUUGGGAUUUAUGAGGAGAACCAGACUUUGGAUGAAACUGACAUUGAAAUGAGCAGGAUGGAGAGAAAAAUCCUAGGGGUUUGGUGACAAUACUGGGCUGCUGAUUAAACUUGGAGUUUGCCCUGA
rnacentral:lncRNA from 1 species